GAUGAAGAACGUAGCGAAAUGCGAUAAGUAGUGUGAAUUGCAGAAUUCAGUGAAUCAUCGAAUCUUUGAACGCACAUUGCGCCCUUUGGUAUUCCAAAGGGCAUGCCUGUUCGAGCGUCAUUUGUACCCUCAAGCUUUGCUUGGUGUUGGGCGUCUUGUCUCUAGCUUUGCUGGAGACUCGCCUUAAAGUAAUUGGCAGCCGGCCUACUGGUUUCGGAGCGCAGCACAAGUCGCACUCUCUAUCAGCAAAGGUCUAGCAUCCAUUAAGCCUUUUUUUCAACUUUUGACCUCGGAUCAGGUAUGGAUACCCGCUGAACUUAAGCAUAUCAAUAAGCGGAGGA
rnacentral:misc_RNA from 1 species